CCUACGGGAGGCAGCAGUGAGGAAUAUUGGUCAAUGGCCGGAAGGCUGAACCAGCCAAGCCGCGUGAGGGAGGAAGGCGCAGAGCGUCGCAGACCUCUUUUGCCGGGGGACAACAGGCCGGACUCGUCCGGUCCUGAGGGUACCCGGAGAAAAAGCAUCGGCUAACUCCGUGCCAGCGGCCGCGGUACUACGUAGGGGGCAAGCGUUAUCCGGAUUUACUGGGUGUAACGGGGGCGCAGACGGCGAUGCACGCCGGGAGUGAAAGCCCGGGGCCCAACCCCGGGACGGUGCUUGGAACUGCGUGGCGGGAGUGGAGGAGGGGCAGGGGGAAGUCGUGGUGUAGCGGUGAAAGGCGUAGAUAUCAGGAGGAACACCGGUGGCGAAGGCGGCCUGCUGGACUGCAACUGACGUUGAGGCCCGAAAGCGUGGGGAGCAAACAGGAUUAGAUACCCGAGUAGUC
rnacentral:rRNA from 1 species